UCGAACGAGAAAGGGGAGCAAUCCCUGAGUACAGUGGCGUACGGGUGAGUAACACGUGGAUGAUCUACCCUUUUGUGUGGAAUAACCAAGGGAAACCGUGGCUAAUACCGCAUAAGCUCGAGAGAGGAAAGCAGCAAUGCGCAGAAGGAGGAGUCCGCGGCCGAUUAGCUAGUUGGCAGGGUAAAAGCCUACAAAGGCAGAGAUCGGUAGCCGGCCUGAGAGGGCACACGGCCACACUGGCACUGAAACACGGGCCAGACUCCUACGGGAGGCAGCAGUGGGGAAUCUUGCACAAUGGGGGAAACCCUGAUGCAGCGACGCCGCGUGAGCGAUGAAGCCCUUCGGGGUGUAAAGCUCUUUCGGCAGGGAAGAUAAUGACGGUACCUGCAGAAGCAGCUGCGGCUAACUACGUGCCAGCAGCCGCGGUAAUACGUAGGCAGCGAGCGUUGUUCGGAGUUACUGGGCGUAAAGGGUGUGUAGGCGGUUGUUUAAGUUUGGUGUGAAAUCUCCCGGCUCAACUGGGAGGGUGCGCCGAAUACUGAAUGACUAGAGUGCGGGAGAGGAAAGUGGAAUUCCUGGUGUAGCGGUGAAAUGCGUAGAUAUCAGGAGGAACACCGGUGGUGUAGACGGCUUUCUGGACCGUAACUGACGCUGAGACACGAAAGCGUGGGUAGCAAACAGGAUUAGAUACCCUGGUAGUCCACGCCCUAAACGAUGCAUAUUUGGUGUGGGCAGUUCAUUCUGUCCGUGCCGGAGCUAACGCGUUAAAUAUGCCGCCUGGGGAGUACAGUCGCAAGGCUGA
rnacentral:rRNA from 1 species